rnacentral:rRNA from 1 species
UACGGAGGAUCCGAGCGUUAUCCGGAUUUACUGGGUUUAAAGGGUGCGUAGGCGGCCAUUUAAGUCAGUGGUGAAAGACGGCAGCUCAACUGUCGCAGUGCCUUUGAUACUGAAUGGCUUGAGUGCUGUUGAAGAUGGCGGAAUGAGACAAGUAGCGGUGAAAUGCAUAGAUAUGUCUCAGAACACCGAUUGCGAAGGCAGCUAUCUAAGCAGUGAUUGACGCUGAUGCACGAAAGCGUGGGGAUCGAAC